rnacentral:lncRNA from 1 species
CGGCGCCCGCGCACAGCGGCGGCCGGGCGGAGGCGCCGGCCGAGCGGGCGCCCGCGGGCUGCGUAACGCCCUGUCGAAAGCGGACGCCAUAUUUUUUUGUGGCUGUGUCGACACAGAGCGACGUAGACAUGUUUUCCUCUCCUCCUCGGUCUGGCUUGCCUCCGCGCCAACUUGCCGUCAGAACUCUUCUGGGGAGGCCGCCGAGCCCUGCUUGGCUUGCUCGGAGAACACCCGCAUUCCACGUCUGCCGCUCCAUCCGCUGGACAGCCAGCCAGCUCUGAAGACACCCUCUGUUGUUACCGUGAAUAAAACAGAAUCGUUCAUGACCCCAGGACUGAUGGCUCCCUGCUGACCUGUUGAAUCUGUCUCCCCUUGGACCGUUAUCCCACACCGCUGGAUGGGAGCGCAUCUGCCGGACCCACCUCUGAAGGUCAGCACCAAGCCCAGAACCGGGGCCAGAGCAAGUGCUCAGCAAACAUCUGGCAGAUGAACAAGCGGGCGCUCGCCUCUCCCAGCCACCGGGCAGCCCCAGAAGCAGGUGUCAUUGUGCUCCCGCCACCAGACUGAGAAACCAGACUCAGAG